AUUGAACGCUGGCGGCAGGCUUAACACAUGCAAGUCGAGCGGGGGAAGGUAGCUUGCUACCGGUCCUAGCGGCGGACGGGUGAGUAAUGCUUAGGAAUCUGCCUAUUAGGGGGGGACAACAUCUCGAAAGGGAUGCUAAUACCGCAUACGUCCUACGGGAGAAAGGAGGGGAUCUUCGGACCUUGGGCUAAUAGAUGAGCCUAAGUCGGAUUAGCUAGUUGGUGGGGUAAAGGCCUACCAAGGCGACGAUCUGUAGCGGGUCUGAGAGGAUGAUCCGCCACACUGGGACUGAGACACGGCCCAGACUCCUACGGGAGGCAGCAGUGGGGAAUAUUGGACAAUGGGGGGAACCCUGAUCCAGCCAUGCCGCGUGUGUGAAGAAGGCCUUAUGGUUGUAAAGCACUUUAAGCGAGGAGGAGGCUACUUUAGCUAAUACCUAGAGAUAGUGGACGUUACUCGCAGAAUAAGCACCGGCUAACUCUGUGCCAGCCGCCGCAGUAA
rnacentral:rRNA from 1 species